rnacentral:tRNA from 1 species
GCCCUAGUAGCUCAGCGCCCAGAGCGCCGGUCUUGUAAACCGGACGUCGGAGGUUAAACUCCUCCCUAGCGCUC